AGCAGCCGCGGUAAUUCCAGCUCCAAUAGCGUAUAUUAAAGUUGUUGCAGUUAAAAAGCUCGUAGUUGAAUUUCGAGACCGGUUUACUGGUCGUGCUUUUGUACGUACUGGUAUUAUUGGUUUCUCCUUUCUGACGAAUCAUAAUGCCAUUAAUUUGGUGUUUUGGGGAAUCAGGACUGUUACUUUGAAAAAAUUAGAGUGUUUAAAGCAGGCUCACGCUUGAAUACAUUAGCAUGGAAUAACGAAAUAGGACGUUUGAUUUUAUUUUGUUGGUUUCUAGGAUCGACGUAAUGAUUAAUAGGGAUAGUUGGGGGCAUUAGUAUUCAAUUGUCAGAGGUGAAAUUCUUGGAUUUAUUGAAGACUAACUACUGCGAAAGCAUUUGCCAAGGAUGUUUUCAUUAAUCAAGAACGAAAGUUAGGGGAUCGAAGACGAUUAGAUACCGUCGUAGU
rnacentral:rRNA from 1 species